CCUGCUUCUUGCUAGAUCAUCCUCACGCACUAUAGUAGAGCCAUGGGAAGUACCAUCUGAAUGCUUGCUUUUUGAAAGAGUCAUGGGAAGUACCAUCUGGCUUGCUUCUGAAAUCUGGAAUGCCAUGUUGGGGCCGGCUUCACUGCUUCAUUUUUUUUAUCUUCUCCAUAGACUACAUUGCAAACACCAUCCUUGAGUAUAAUAGGUUCAUGCUCUUGCUUUAUUGUUUUAUAGCCAGUGUUGCG